CUUCUGUCUACAUGCUUUCUCAUUCAAGAACUCGUCAUCACGCAUCACAGGCUGCGUCUUUGACGUUUUUAAUAAGUCUGGGUGACCGCACCUAAAAUGCACUUGCACUAU